ACCCGCACAAGCGGUGGAUGAAGUGGAUUAAUUCGAUGCAACGCGAAGAACCUUACCUACCCUUGACAUGUCCGGAACUUGCCAGAGAUGGCUUGGUGCCCGAAAGGGAAUCGGAACACAGGUGCUGCAUGGCUGUCGUCAGCUCGUGUCGUGAGAUGUUGGGUUAAGUCCCGCAACGAGCGCAACCCUUAUCAUUAGUUGCUACGCAAGGGCACUCUAAUGAGACUGCCGGUGACAAACCGGAGGAAGGUGGGGAUGACGUCAAGUCCUCAUGGCCCUUAUGGGUAGGGCUUCACACGUCAUACAAUGGUCGGUACAGAGGGUUGCCAAGCCGCGAGGCGGAGCCAAUCCCACAAAGCCGAUCGUAGUCCGGAUUGUUCUCUGCAACUCGAGAGCAUGAAGUCGGAAUCGCUAGUAAUCGCAGGUCAGCAUACUGCGGUGAAUACGUUCCCGGGUCUU
rnacentral:rRNA from 1 species